AAUGUAGGGUCUCUAACAGGGAAGCUUCGGGAGCUAGUUGAUGCAGCAGUGAGGAGAGGUGUUGAUAUCCUUUGCGUCCAAGAAACCAAAUGGAGAGGACAGAAGGCGAAGGAGGUGGAGGAUACCGGCUUCAAGUUGUGGUACACGGGGACGGCUGCAAACAGAAAUGGCGUAGGCAUCUUGAUCAACAAGAGCCUCAAGUAUGGAGUGGUAGACGUCAGGAGACGUGGGGACCGGAUUAUCCUGGUCAAGCUGGUAGUUGAGGACUUGGUUCUCAAUGUUAUCAACGCGUAUGCCCCGCAAGUAGGCCACAAUGAGAACACCAAGAGGGAGUUCUGGGAAGGCUUGGAAGACAUGGUUAGGAGUGUACCGAUUGGUGAGAAGCUCUUCAUAGGAGGAGACCUCAAUGGCCACGUGGGUACAUCUAACACAGGUUUUGAAGGGGCGCAUGGGGGAUUUGGCUAUGGCAUCAGGAAUCAAGAAGGAGAAGAUGUCUUAAGCUUUGCUCUAGCCUACAACAUGAUUGUAGCUAACACCCUCUUUAGAAAGAGAGAAUCACAUCUGGUGACUUUUAGUAGUGGCCAACACUCUAGCCAGAUUGAUUUCAUCCUCUCGAGAAGAGAAGAUAGGCGUGCGUGCCUAGGCUGUAAGGUGAUACCUGGG
rnacentral:rRNA from 1 species